rnacentral:tRNA from 1 species
GCCACGGUGGCUGAGUGGUAAAGCACUUGGCUUUCGAACCGGAGUCCCGGGUUCAAAUCCUGGUGAAGACA